UACGAAGGGGCUAGCGUUGCUCGGAAUCACUGGGCGUAAAGGGUGCGUAGGCGGGUCUUUAAGUCAGGGGUGAAAUCCUGGAGCUCAACUCCAGAACUGCCUUUGAUACUGAAGAUCUUGAGUUCGGGAGAGGUGAGUGGAACUGCGAGUGUAGAGGUGAAAUUCGUAGAUAUUCGCAAGAACACCAGUGGCGAAGGCGGCUCACUGGCCCGAGUACUGACGCUGAGGCACGAAAGCGUGGGGAGCAAACAGG
rnacentral:rRNA from 1 species